GACGAACGCUGGCGGCGUGCCUAAUACAUGCAAGUCGAACGCAGUGGGGACGGGUGAGUAACACGUGGGUAACCUCCCAUCAGAGGGGAUAACACUUGGAAACAGGUGCUAAACCGAUACUGAUGGAUGAACCAGCUGGGAAUUAGCUAGUUGGGGAGGUAACGGCUCACCACGGCCACGAUGCAAAGCCAACCUUGGAGGGUGAGCGUCCCCACUGGUACUGUGACACGGCCCAGACUCCUACGGGAGGCGUCAGUAGUGAAUCUUCGGCAAUGGACGAAAGUCUGGCCUAGCAACGCCGCGUGAGUUACUAAGGUUUUCGGAUCGUAAACCUCUGUUGUUAGAGAAGCGGUAUCUAACCAGAAAGCCACGGCUAACUACGUGCCAGCAGCCGCGGUAAUAC
rnacentral:rRNA from 1 species